AUUGAACGCUGGCGGCAUGCUUUACACAUGCAAGUCGAACGGCAGCGCGGGGCAACCUGGCGGCGAGUGGCGAACGGGUGAGUAAUAUAUCGGAACGUACCCAGAAGUGGGGGAUAACGUAGCGAAAGUUACGCUAAUACCGCAUACGAUCUACGGAUGAAAGUGGGGGACCUUCGGGCCUCAUGCUUUUGGAGCGGCCGAUAUCUGAUUAGCUAGUUGGUGAGGUAAAGGCUCACCAAGGCGACGAUCAGUAGCUGGCCUGAGAGGACGACCAGCCACACUGGGACUGAGACACGGACCAGACUCCUACGGGAGGCAGCAGUGAGGAAUAUUGGACAAUGGGCGCAAGCCUGAUCCAGCCAUGCCGCGUGCAGGAAGAAGCAUCUAUGGUGUGUAAACUGCUUUUGUACGGGAAGAAACGACUCCUUACGUGUAGG
rnacentral:rRNA from 1 species